rnacentral:sRNA from 1 species
AUGUGGUGACAAUUCUCAGAGCCGGAAGUCACAAAGCAGUGUAGAGAGAGUGACAGAACAAACAGAACUGUCUAGAUGGAAGCAGCAGGUCUUAGCAGAGGUGAAUACUGUGUAGAAAAUCUAUGGUGUCUCUAGCCACAGCACUGAAACCA